CAGAGAAUAGUUUAAUCUAGAACGGUAGUUUUGGGGACUACUGGAGUGAGUGUGAAAUCUUACUUUUCUGA
rnacentral:tRNA from 1 species